rnacentral:lncRNA from 1 species
UUUUUUUUUUUUUUUUUUUUUUUUAGGGCCACACCCGUGGCAUAUGUAAGUUCCCAAGCUAAGGAUCAAAUUGGAGCUGCAGCUGCCAGCCUACCCCACAGCCACAGCAGUACCAGAUCUGAGCCGUGUCUGCAACCUACUCUAUAGCUCAUGGCAACUCCAGAUCCUUAACCCACUGAGCGAGGCCAGGGAUUGAACCUGCACAUCUUCAUGGAUACUAGUCAUAUUCUUAACCCACUGAGCCACAGUGGGAACUCCCUGAUCUACAUUAUUUUUAAAAGAGGUUGGGUCACUGCUAAUUCCUACAGUGUAGAUGUCCUAGACUGAAUAAAAUCAUUUCCUAAAAUUCCUAUGCCUAUUACAGUGACAGGACAGAUGGCUGCCAGAAGUAUGGUGAACCUUAGGUGUGCUUUAGAUUUUAAGGCAAGGGGUAUAAAGUUUAGUCUUUCUCAAAUCUAAUUCAUGAAUUAAUGAUUCCUGAUAUAGAAUGGUAAAGCUUCCCUGGUGAUUCAUAUGUUACAAACAUUGACUUUUUUCUAGCCGAAGGCCAGCAGAGAUUGGUUCUUUGAUAGGAAGUAAUUUCAUGAGAAUUCUGCUCUAAGUAGUCCCUAGAUCUGAAAACAUUAAACAAAAAAUAGAAGGCAACUAUUUUCAGUAUAGAACAGUGAUUAUGAGUAUAGAACCAGACCCCUGGCUUCUCUGCCACUGGCAUUGUGACCUCAGCAGAUCAUGUAACCUAUCUGCCUCAGUUUCCUUGUCUGAGCAGUAGAGAUAAUAACAGCACUUUAAGCAAGUACUGUGAGGAUUGAAUGAGUCAAUAAAUAGAAGCUCUUAGAACCUGGGAUGGUGGGUGCUAGGACCUCAUGUUGUGGUCUCUCUGAUUAGUGUUACUAUUACUUUCAAGAUAAUAAGAGGCUUUUAAAUAGCAAAUGCCCCCAAAUAUAUCAUUGCUUAUAGCUUUGCAGAAAUUGUGAAUUAAGUGAGAAUCCUGUUGAAAUAUUUGGUAGUCAUGUGCCCUGUCCUGGCAAGCUUUUGUGUGCAGACUUGUGGGCAGGGCAAUGGGGACACAUCCAAAUACAGAGAUGGGAACUGGGGGCCUGGUAUUGCCAAAUGCCUGUUGUAUAUCAGGUAUUUUCCAUGCAGCAUCCACGUGAGCUUAACAAAAUCCAUCUGAGGUAAGUAAACAGGAUUAAGUUGUCACUUAAUCCAGUGUCACUCGGCUUGGAAGAAGGAGACUGCUUUCCAGGACCCGCAGUCUCCUAGGCACUAGAUCACUGCUGUCAAAUGGGGAAGGUGUCUCUGGGAACGCCGCCUUAUCCAGUGUGGUGCUGGCACUUUGGCCCCAUCAUCCUUUGCUUUGAACAUCCUAAUUUGGUCUAUCGAGUACUCCUGGAUAGCUGCUGCCUAGUGUCCUCCACUCUUUGGGGCUCCCAGGGGUGUGUUUGUGCAUGUGGUCUGUGCACAGAUGGGAGUGAGGGGUGGGGAAGGCAGCCAGCAGCCUUUCACAGUAUGGAAAUAUACAAAUACCAGGGAUAUAAGAGCCUAAGGCAGUCUUAGCACAAAUGCAACAUGGCUCUUAAGAGAGUAAUCCAAUGCGAAAUGUACCCCUUCCUCCAAAAAUAAAAAAUAAAAAACAGGUGAGCCAGGGAAAUGAGAAUGCCAGAGCAGAGAAGCAAAUUUUGCAAAAUUGGAAGAUAGUCUAAGAAUAACCAGAGCUGCUGAGAAACUAGAGAUUCCGGGCAGGUCUAAAUAGGAAAUUGGCUGAGGGAGAAAAAGAAAGGAGGCUCCUACUGGAUUCCAGUGAGACAUCUUAAAUUCACAGGCCUCCUAGACCAGCAGUACAAAAGGGGCCUUAGGGAUAAAUAUACACUCACCAAGGGAGAGGUAGCACAGCUCUUCUCUCAAGAAGCCGACGGUGAGGUUUGGGGCUGGCAAGCCAGUGAGGACAGGAUACCUACUUUACCUCAGCCCCAAAGUAUCCCUCUCCUUCUCUUUGUCAUCACAUCACCCUGUCUUGGAACCCUCUGCUUACUCCGUGAACCCAGGCUGACCUCCACUCACCUCUCCCCACUCUAUGGAUCAGGGCCCUUGACGGAAAAGGGCAUCCAUCAUGUGUGGCUGCUGCUGCCAAUGGGUUGUCAUGAGGAGGAUGAAACAAAGGCUGCUUCUGACUUUGGUUUGAAGGUGAUCUUCCCACAGACCCCCUUGGCAACUUGCUGUCAUCUCACUUGUCUCUGCCUUUGACUCUCAAAUCUUAAAACUCUGAUUUGAUUGUGUUUAUGUUUGCAUGAUCCAUGCAGUCUGGCACUUGAAGAUUGGAUAAAGAGCUGCACAAGUAUCUGGGGUCAGGGAAUGCCAGAGGAGGGAGAAACCUUGGAGGUCAGCCAUUCCAGUGGCCUCACUUGGCGUUAUCCUUGUGUCUGUCUUGUGAAGCAAUGACCUUGCAGGUGGCAGUGAGAGUCUGUGCAACACUACUUUUUGAGCACCUACAUCCUGUGCCUAAGAAUGCCUUCCCACCCUGCAAGGAUGUGAGCUCAGCAUCGAUUCCAGGCUCUGGGAAACUCCCUUUCUACCAAUUAGCAGCUAGUGGCCAGACUGCAUAUAGAAACACUCAUAUCUUAUCAUGUUUAGACUAUAGCUCUGGGCAUGAUUUCUCUACGCCACUCAGAGAGAAAAAGAUAAAUAAUGUUUCAUCUUUGUUUACAGUUUAUCAAGUUGUAGAUCACAGUUUAGUGUAAGAGGAAAAAAUCUUCUAUAAGACAAAGAUUAAAGCCAAUAAUAUUUCAGUAAGUUAUAAAAUCAUAAAUUUAUCAGUUCACUUACUCCCAUGUAAUUGAUUCCUGUUGAUCUGGAUGAAACCUUCAGGUUUUCCAUUGGUUUUGUAAAUUCUUACUGUUCAGCAGUAUGAUCUAAAAGUCAUCAGGGAGUUCUCGUUGUGGCUCAGUGGUUAAUGAAUCCGAUUAGGAACCAUGAGGUUGUGGGUUCGAUUCCUGGCCUCACUCAGGGGGUUAAGGAUCCAGCAUUUCCAUGAGCUGUGGUGUAGGUCGUAGACUUGGCUCAGAUCCUGAGUUGCUGUGGCUCUGGUGUAGGCCGACGGCUAUAGCUCCGAUCAGACCCCUAGCCUGGGAACCUCCAUAUGCUUCGGGUGCGGCCCUAGAAAAGACAAAAAAAAAAAAAAAAAAAAAAAAAAAAAG